UACGGAGGAUGCGAGCGUUAUCCGGAUUUAUUGGGUUUAAAGGGUGCGCAGGCGGCACGGCAAGCCGGCGGUCAAAUCGCGGGGCUCAACCCCGCCCAGCCGUCGGAACUGCCGGGCUAGAGUGGGCGAGAAGUGCGCGGAAUGCGUGGUGUAGCGGUGAAAUGCAUAGAUAUCACGCAGAACUCCGAUUGCGAAGGCAGCGCACCGGCGCCCUACUGACGCUCAGGCAUGAAAGCGUGGGUAUCGAACAGG
rnacentral:rRNA from 1 species